UUUGUUUUGCAUGGUACGUAUGCUACAUUUUUAGAACGUUGGCAGAGGCUAGAGCUACCAUCCCGACAGUCUGUUGCUACAUAUACUAAUAUCAACAUUUAAGUACAGCAAUAAUAUAACUUACCUGGCAUCACCCAAAAAAAUACUACAACAAAAGGGCAUGGGGUAAAAAAAACAUGGUCCACAAUCAUCGACUGGAAAUAUAAAUCAAUCCGGCAGCUUCUGGUCGGUGUGCAAUCAAUAAAAAAAUAGACAAAAAUCCCCACCGGAGAGCUCCCUUAUCCACACAGCACUGCUCGUCAUCAAUCCACGCCCCCAUCAGUGCUGCUCUCUCCUCUUCUCCGCCCCGCACCAGUUCCGGCCGUGCCACACCCCCCAUCUCUCUUCCCUCCUCCUGUCCUCCGCACGCCCUAGGGACCGUGGCGCCAGAUCGAGGGAGCCCGGCAACGGAGGUCGCCGCCUCUCCGUCUCGAUCCGUCGGCUGCUGGAUCCGACUGCAUGGCCCGCUGGUGCCCUCCAGGGACCCCCCCCCCCCCCAACCCCGCGUCGGUGAGGACAGCCAUGGAUGGGCGCCCUGGAGCUCUUCUGCCGUCGCCCGAUCUGGCCGCCCGCCCAGUCGCCGGACCGUGCUCCGGAUCCGGCCAACAGCCUCGUCUCCGACUCGAUUCAGACGCCCACAGCCUCCCUCCGCCACCUGCGCCAUGCAUGCCCCCAGGUCCGACCGAUCCUGCGCCGCUCAUCCUCACUGCUUUUCUUUUGAGUGAACCUCGCUGCUUCUUUUUGGCUCGCAGCUCGCAAGGAGGCCAGGCACGUCGUCCAACUGAUGCACCGGCGGCGCGUAUCGGCGUGGGGGUGGGCCGGCGACACACAGCGGCGUGGGGGUGGGCCGGCGGCGCGUGUUAUGACCGGCGGCAGGACGUUGAGAUGGGAUUGUUUUUUUACGGGAUUGGGAGGCAGGGACGUGCGGGUGGGUGGGUGGGUUAUUUCUUUUUCUCUCUUGUCAGUAUCGCUUCAGGUUGACUUAUAAUAGUACUGCGGGUUAAAUAGCCAAAAUAGCAGGGGGGUUUCUGUAAAAAUGCCGAUGACGGACGGGCAGAAGCACUCCGUGCUUUAUUAGUAGGGAAAGAUUAGAUUAAGAUGGUCAGACAUCUCACUUGAAUUACCCAAUCUUUCUUUGAAAGCUGACCAAAGAACUGCAGCCUUAGCAUGAUGCUCUGUUACUUCUACCCCCUGAUCAUUCAUAAGAGUUUGAAUGAAGUUAUGCCUGUAUUUGAUGGUA